UUUAACGGCGAGGACAUAUUCAACUAAUAAAAUAAAAUAAAAUCGAGGGAUAUUUUUAACCUUUUUUCCCGUGAUAAAUGCAACAAGCACACAACUCCUCAAUUAUGCCCGUGUCAUCAAAAAUGGUAUUACGGUCUUUCUCAUUAUACAGCUUUGCCUACCACGCGUAGCCCGAAUCUUCCUCUUCCUCUUGUCAACUACAAUAUUCUUAUCUUUGUUGAAAUUGUUUACCUUCUUCGCACCUCUUGAUAGUUCGACUUUUGAAUAAAAUUUUCAAAGAGUGCUUUGCUUUUCUCUGCCUAUGUAUAACUGUUCUGAGCUCGAGCGCCGUGACCUUUCUCCUUUAUCUUUUCCCAAGCUUUCUGAGUGUAAACUGAAUGGAUAGCUACUUGUUAUUCUGAAGGGUCCUCUUGUUCCCUACUUUAUGUUUUGUUCUAUUUGAGAAACAAAGACAUUAAGACUUGUAUUAUCUUUCAAAUUAUGUAUUAUUACAUUAAUGACUUGUACACCUGACAAUCAUAUUUUGGAAUAAUUUAAGAUUGACUAAGUUAUCCACUUU